CCACGUGGAUAUUCCCCAGAGAUCACUCUCCCUGGGCUCUGUCCAGGUGGCAUGGAGUCCGAGCACACAGGAAACAGCCCUCUAAAACCCCAUUCUGAAUCGAGG
rnacentral:snoRNA from 1 species